UACGUAGGUGGCGAGCGUUGUCCGGACUUACUGGGUGUAAAGGGCGUGUAGGCGGGGAUGUAAGUCAGAUGUGAAAUACUGGGGCUCAACUCCAGGGCUGCAUCUGAAACUAUAUCUCUUGAGUGCUGGAGAGGAAAGCGGAAUUCCUAGUGUAGCGGUGAAAUGCGUAGAUAUUAGGAGGAACACCAGUGGCGAAGGCGGCUUUCUGGACAGUAACUGACGCUGAGGCGCGAAAGCGUGGGGAGCAAACAGG
rnacentral:rRNA from 1 species